AGCACAGGGACAACGGAGUGU
rnacentral:miRNA from 1 species